rnacentral:rRNA from 1 species
UACGUAGGGUGCGAGCGUUGUCCGGAUUUAUUGGGCGUAAAGAGCUCGUAGGCGGUUUGUCGCGUCGGCCGUGAAAUCUCCACGCUUAACGUGGAGCGUGCGGUCGAUACGGGCAGACUUGAGUUCGGUAGGGGAGACUGGAAUUCCUGGUGUAGCGGUGAAAUGCGCAGAUAUCAGGAGGGAACACCCGGUGGCGAAGGCGGGUCUCUGGGGACGGUACUGACGCUGAGGCACGGAAGGCCAGGGGAGCAAACGGG